UGAAAUAGUUAAAUAAUAUUUUUAUCAUUCCGUCUCCGUUACCAAAUUUAUAAGAUCAAAGAAAGAUACUCCGACACUUUAGUACUUCUCACUCCUGCAAAGAGAAGCCUCAGUCCAACGGCCACACUCCACCGUCGUCACCAAUAUACCUGUUGCACCCAACACCACCGUCACCACAACAUCGCCGUCACCUUCGCGCAUUUCCUUCUCUUUCAAUAUUUCCCUUUUCAUUUCAACGAGGUACAUAUAAGGAAAUAGCUGGGAUUUGAUUGGUUUUCUGUUCUCUUCUAUUUUAACUUUCAUCAGAUCUGACAGCCAUCAGUGGUGGAGCUCGAAUUGUUUUAUGCUUUGUUUGUUUGGGGUUUGUGGGUUUAGAUGUUGCGCCUGAGAGGCACCUAAUGGACUUUGUUGGUUUAGAGUCCUCUUCCUGAUGCCCCAGUUAAGUUUUCACUACCUCCUGCCUUACCAAAGGCUUACUGGUAUUUGGCUCUUCUACAUCCAUAUACACAAUGCUCUGUACUGGGCUUGAUGAUUGGGGUGUAGUUGAUUGGUGGAAUAGCAUCCGCAGGAUAGAAAUCGGCAACAGAGGUGUACUUUUGUGUUUCUCAAUAAGUAAAAUUCUUAUAAUGUGACGAUUGUUAUUAAUGUUUUAUCAUGGACAUUUGGUAUAACGUUGUCACCUUUGACACCAUCAUCUCAGCCAUCGCCGUUCGUCUUAUGGACAUUUGGUGGAGUUAAGGAUAGGUGAAUUUGAAUGACUAUUGCAUGAUUACGUAUAUAAGCUGCAUGCUUAUGUAUGGACGUAUGAAUUGAGAUCACCGGAAUACUCUCUGCAGCCACUGCAGUCAGUCGAAGAAUUGAAGGUUAGAAUCUCCUUAAUCUUCAUACUUAGCUCUUGAUUGUCAUGUUCUUUCAUAACAUGGGAGGAAACGGAAAAUGAGUCAUCUUUGUUAAAGAACAAUUUCUUGCUUGGAAUGAGUAGUUCGAAGAUAUUUGUUUUCUCUUUAUGGUCUUAAAUUGACAAAAGAAAAUAUUAGAAGAGGCCUAAUUACCGUGUCUCAUUGAUAAUUUUCUUUGUUUAAGUCAAAUUACGGUAUAUUUAAAGAAAAUAAAAAACAGAAUCCAAGAUACACUUACAUUAUGAGCAGCCACUAACAGUGUGGAAUGGAAGCACUAUUCUCAUUUCUUAACUUAAUUCAAGAUGUAAAUUUCCCUUUUCUGACAUCUAAAACCACUUUGUUUCCUUCACACACAAAUCCUAUAGCUGCUAAGGAAAAGGGAGCAAGUGACUAAGUCUUCAGAGUAGGCGUUGCUUGGAAAAAUUUCUUGUUUGUUUUGAUCUUAUGGAAAAAUUUCUUGUUUAUUUUGAUCUUAAAUUUGUCAUUAUACAGUAUGAUGGUUUUGAAUGCUGUCAUAUUUAGUGUGCUAAGAAAGUGGUGUUUGGUAAUUCUAUGUUUGUGUUAUUCAGACCUUUGAUACUAAUACGAAAAUUGAUAAGCUAUUAAUCGUAAGUUUUUCAUAUAGACCUUUUGAUACUCAAAUGAAAUAAUAAGUUGUCUAUAUGAUUCGGUACUUGCUCUCACAACGUUGCCUUUAUAGCACAAUAUUAGAGCUUUGUUUUCACUCCCUGGACUGCCUCUGUUGCUCGGUAGAGUACCCCUACGAUUUGAUUACCAUCAUAAUGCUAUUUUUGUUAGAAUUGUUUGUUCCUUCACUUUCUACUUACACCCAUCACAGUGUAUGUUCACUUUGAGAACACAUGUCUGCAGCAAGCCACAAGACAACAAUAUGAAUGCAGGGAAAGAAACAGAGGAAGACAGGAAUUUGUUUCAGUGAAAAGGCCAGAACACAACUGUCAUAUGCAUAUGGAUACAACGUUGGCUUUAAAGCCAAACUGCAGUUGUUCUUGGAGAGAAAAUACCUAGAUUUUUCAGGAGCUUAAAGUCUUCAUCUUUAGUAAUUUCUUGAGGGUUGUUUGGAAUUUAUCAAUCUGCUACAAAAGGAAAUAAUCUGAAGUAGUUUCAGUUGUUCACAGGGCUGGUGAAGCUUUUUGCUGUUGAAAUUGACAGCUUAAUGAUAAUUGUGGCAAAUCCUUGACUAGUUUCUGAAUAGGAAGAAAGAUUACAAGGAUAGAAACUAUUCUCAGGAAUCAUCAUGGUCUCUGUCGCUGCUGGGGCCUUCUUGUGCAUGGACAACUCACUGAUUUCUAUUAGACACGGAUUUCAGCUGUGGAAUCAGCAAGUAGACUUCAGCUACAAGUUUAUUGACGAAGUUUUCUAUCUAAUUUUCUUUAGAGAGGGGAUAUUUUGGCUUCAGAGACAGAAAAUCAGAUUCUAAAACUCUCUUGCAGUGAUUUUCAAUUUUUCUGCUAGCUUAUUUAGGAAAUCAGAAGGAAAACCAAGUGCAGUACCCGUUCUACGUGUUUUUUUUUUUUUUAUAUAUCCU